rnacentral:rRNA from 1 species
UACGUAGGUGGCAAGCGUUGUCCGGAUUUACUGGGCGUAAAGAGCGCGCAGGCGGUCGUGCAAGUCGCGUGUGAAAGCCCCCGGCUCAACUGGGGAGGGUCACGCGAUACUGCUCGACUCGAAGGCAGGAGAGGGAAGUGGAAUUCCCGGUGUAGUGGUGAAAUGCGUAGAUAUCAGGAGGAACACCGGUGGCGAAGGCGGGUCUCUGGGCCGAUACUGACGCUGAGGAGCGAAAGCGUGGGGAGCGAACAGG